UACGAAGGGUGCAAGCGUUUACUCGGAAUUACUGGGCGUAAAGCGUGCGUAGGUGGUUCGUUAAGUCUGUCGUGAAAUCCCCGGGCUCAACCUGGGAAUGGCGAUGGAUACUGGCGAGCUAGAGUGAGGUAGAGGAGAGUGGAAUUCCCGGUGUAGCAGUGAAAUGCGUAGAGAUGUGGAGGAAUACCGAUGGCGAAGGCAGCCCCUGGGAUAACACUGACGCCUCGAUGCACGAAAGCGUGGGGAGCAAACAGG
rnacentral:rRNA from 1 species